rnacentral:lncRNA from 1 species
ACACAUCAAAAACACCACAUACUUGAGGCCAAAUCAUCAAUUUAAGUCGAAACGAAGGCAUUCCAAGUGGAUAUAAAAUCCACUUAUCACACCCCCAAACUUAAACCGAUGCUUGUCCUCAAGCAUAGACACACACACAAACUACUAAUGCAAUGCAUGAAUGCAACUAUAUGCCUACGUCUACUCGAAUCAUGAAGUGUAAUCCUUGUUAACAUAGAAUCCUCAGAAUAUGCAACAUUCUCGGCAUUCAUCUCUUUCACAUAUUAGCCAUGUUCUCUUCCACUACAAGUGUGAAGUGCAUCGUGUGUGCUAGCAUGCUCUCUAGUGAAACAAAACAAAGACUAUCAAACUUCAACAGAGUCCUCACUAUGAGCCGUUAAUCAGAAUCAGGUUUAAACACUUCUUU